GAGAAGGAAUCGUGACUUUGCCUGGAGACGUCCCCUACAUGGGAGACCGGGGGGGGGGGGGGGGGGGGGGGGGGGGGGGGGGGGGGGGGGGGGGGGGGAAGACCUAUCCAAUGAAAACCGCUGCCAGGGGGGCAUUUGAACUCCGCCGCUCGCUGUCUCGCUCUCCCUACUCGGCCCGGUGCACCUCUCUACCCCCUCCCAGCCGGCGCGCUCUCUGGCGCGCUCGCUCGCUCUCCCGCUAUCCGACGAGUCCUCAACAAGUUGGAGGAAAGCAGGAACGCAGGGGUUAAGCUCGGAAAGCAGCAAUUACCAAGAUCGUGACCCUCCCACACAGUACAGUAACUUAUAUACUUACCUGGAAGAGCCUGCUUUGCCGCUGGGCAAACACCCGUGGGGGGCGGGGAGGGGCGGGAGGGGAGCGGGCCGGUUGGAAAGGGACUCCUUCAAGCUGGCUGCAGUGCGGACGGGACCAGCGCGCUCUCGGGGCCCCCGGACCGAGGUAGUCAGACCUGUCCUGCCAGCUGGGGGUCUACGUGAGGGGUGGCCACUGGAGACAGGAGUCUGGGAGGCCACGGAACUGAAGAGUCUGAACACUGUGAGCUCCAGAGUCCCAGGUGAGUGCAAAGAUCCCUCAGCGCACGGCCCUUGGCCUGGGCAGAACCAAGGAGACUCCAUA
rnacentral:lncRNA from 1 species